UACGUAGGGGGCAAGCGUUGUUCGGAUUUACUGGGCGUAAAGGGCGCGUAGGCGGCGUGACAAGUCACUUGUGAAAUCUCCGGGCUUAACUCGGAACGGUCAAGUGAUACUGUCGUGCUAGAGUGCAGAAAGGGCAACUGGAAUUCUUGGUGUAGCGGUGAAAUGCGUAGAUAUCAAGAGGAACACCAGAGGCGAAGGCGAGUUGCUAGGCUGACACUGACGCUGAGGCGCGAAAGCUAGGGGAGCGAACGGG
rnacentral:rRNA from 1 species